GUGCCAACUUUAGCGGCAUAUAUACUAACACUGGAAUGAUACAGAGAUUAGCAUGGACUCGGCUCAAGGAUGAUGCAAAGUCAUGAAGUGCUCCACAUAUUU